GAAGUCCAACUCUCGGCUCUCGAGAAUUCACUUCGUUACAACCACGCUGUACCGGUACACCCCUGGUGUCAAACCGGUAACACAUGUUCCAGAAUUUCAGUUUUGCAUCGCUUCGACUCCAAUUCACGCCGAGCAACGCUAAAACCCUUCUAACUCUUUUGGAACUCAAUUCUAACCCUUCCAACAUUGUUGGAAUGUCAAUUGGACUUUGUCCAAUUACUUCUCUCGACGCACUUUGGUCAAUUUGACCAAAAGUGAUCUAACACGACGAGGAUUCCG
rnacentral:lncRNA from 1 species